GCUGGGCGCGGUGGCUCACGCCUGUAAUCCAGCACUUUGGGAGGCCGAGGCAGGUGGAUUACCUGAGGUCAGGAGUUCAGAACCAGCCUGGCCAACAUGGUGAAACCCUGUCUCUA
rnacentral:SRP_RNA from 1 species